AGAACGAACGCUGGCGGCAGGCUUAACACAUGCAAGUCGAACGCCCCGCAAGGGGAGUGGCAGACGGGUGAGUAACGCGUGGGAAUCUACCCAAUCCUUCGGAAUAGCUCCGGGAAACUGGAAUUAAUACCGAGUACGCCCUACGGGGGAAAGAUUUAUCGGGGUUGGAUGAGCCCGCGUUGGAUUAGCUAGUUGGUGGGGCAAUGGCCUACCAAGGCGACGAUCCAUUAGCUGGUCUGAGAGGAUGAUCAGCCACACUGGGACUGAGACACGGCCCAGACUCCUACGGGAGGCAGCAGUGGGGAAUAUUGGACAAUGGGCGCAAGCCUGAUCCAGCAUGCCGCGUGAGUGGUGGAAGGCCCGUAGGGUUAGUAAAGCUCUUUCGAGUGGGGAGGAUAAUGGACGGUACCACAAGAAGAACGCCCCGGACUAACUUCGUGCCAGCAGCCGC
rnacentral:rRNA from 1 species